GGGUGGGUCAUUCUGCGAAAGACUCAAGACUCGAUAAGUUCGAAAUAAAGGCAAAUAAAGAGAUAGCUAAGUUCGACAAAAAAUUGCUUGUAAGGAACAAGGAAUAAAAGGAAACAUGACAAACAUGUCACGUCUUGUCAUCAUUCUCUUGUUGAUCUUGGUAACCACGUCAACAGUGAUGUCUGGCUGGGCACAUAAUAGCGGGAAUCGCCGAAAUAGAAGAAAAAAGUGCAAUGCCAGAAAAGGCACUUUCUGUAAGCGCAUAAAU